rnacentral:tRNA from 3 species
GGGGUCGUAGCUCAAUUGGUAGAGCACCACAAUGGCAUUGUGGGGGUCAGGGGUUCGAUUCCCCUCGACUCCACCA